CACGAUGAGCAGCGCUCGGGUGCCCGUGCAGGUUUGUACGGGAUAAUCGGGAAAGUGAUGCAAGUUCACUGCUGUCCCCGCAACGGUAAUCGAGUGGCUUGAAGCGUGACCACUGACCUUCAUGGUCGGGAAGGUGCUUCAGCCCGGCAGACAAUUGUCCGCCAGCUCGUCAGCCCGGAGACCGGCCCGGCGAUGAUACAGGGU
rnacentral:ncRNA from 1 species